rnacentral:rRNA from 1 species
UACGAAGGGGGCAAGCGUUGUUCGGAAUUACUGGGCGUAAAGGGCGCGUAGGCGGCCUUCUAAGUCGGACGUGAAAGCCCCAGGCUUAACCUGGGAACUGCGUCCGAUACUGGGAGGCUUGGAUUCGGGAGAGGGAUGUGGAAUUCCAGGUGUAGCGGUGAAAUGCGUAGAUAUCUGGAGGAACACCGGUGGCGAAGGCGGCAUCCUGGACCGAGAUCGACGCUGAGGCGCGAAAGCUAG